UAUUAAAAAAUUAAUCUAUUUCUAUAGUUAAAAACUAGUGUGAUUAAUAAAAUAAUUAACCAGUUAUACUUAAUGUGCCACAUGUACUUCAUUCUGAUGUAUAUGAAUUAAUUUUUAAUAGUAAAAAUUAAUGAAUUUUUCAAUA
rnacentral:pre_miRNA from 1 species